rnacentral:rRNA from 1 species
GUCUACAGCCAUGCCACCCUGAACAAGUCCAAUCCCGUCUGAUCUUGGAAGCUAAGCAGGGUCGGGCCUGGGUAGUACUUGGAUGGUAGACUACUUAGGAAGACCAGGUGCUGUAGGAG